rnacentral:misc_RNA from 1 species
UCUCACCUUACGGUGGCAGUCCCGCUAGAGUCCCCGCCUUGACGCGCUGGCAACUAACAGUAAGGGUUGCGCUCGUUAUGGGACUUAACCCGACACCUCACGGCACGAGCUGACGACAACCAUGCAGCACCUUGAAGAGUGUCCGAAGAAAACCACCUUUCGGCAGCUGUCACUCCCCAUUUAAGCCCAGGUAAGGUUCCUCGCGUAUCAUCGAAUUAAACCACAUGUUCCUCCGCUUGUGCGGGCCCCCGUCAAUUCCUUUGAGUUUCAACCUUGCGAUCGUACUCCCCAGGUGGAUCACUUAUUGCUUUCGCUCAGCCGCUUACUGUAUAUCGCAAACAGCGAGUGAUCAUCGUUUACGGCGUGGACUAC